rnacentral:rRNA from 1 species
UACGUAGGGAGCGAGCGUUGUCCGAAUUUACUGGGCGUAAAGCGCGCGUAGGCGGGCUGUUAAGUGAGAGGUGAAAGGCUGGGGCUUAACCCCAUGCAGUGCCUCUCAUACUGGCGGUCUUGAGUGCGGCAGGGAGAAGUGGAAUGGCUGGUGUAGCGGUGAAAUGCGUAGAUAUCAGUCGGAACACCGGUGGCGAAGGCGGCUUCUUGGGCCUGGACUGACGCUGAGGCGCGAAAGAUGGGGGAGCGAACGGG